rnacentral:rRNA from 1 species
GACGGAGGAUGCAAGCGUUUAUCCGGAAUUAUUGGGCGUAAAGCGUCCGCAGGUGGCUGUUCAAGUCUGCUGUCAAAGCGCAGAGCUUAACUCUGUACAGGCGGUGGAAACUGAAGAGCUAGAGUAUGGUAGGGGUAGAGGGAAUUCCCGGUGUAGCGGUGAAAUGCGUAGAUAUCGGGAAGAACACCAGUGGCGAAAGCGCUCUACUGGGCCAUAACUGACACUGAGGGACGAAAGCUAGGGGAGCGAAAGGG